rnacentral:rRNA from 1 species
GACGAACGCUGGCGGCGUGCCUAAUACAUGCAAGUAGAACGCUGAAGAGAGGAGCUUACUCUUCUUGGAUGAGUUGCGAACGGGUGAGUAACGCGUAGGUAACCUGCCUUGUAGCGGGGGAUAACUAUUGGAAACGAUAGCUAAUACCGCAUAACAAUGGAUGACACAUGUCAUUUAUUUGAAAGGGGCAAUUGCUCCACUACAAGAUGGACCUGCGUCGUAUUAGCUAGUAGGUGAGGUAAUGGCUCACCUAGGCGACGAUACAUAGCCGACCUGAGAGGGUGAUCGGCCAGACUGGGACUGAGACACGGCCCAGACUCCUACGGGAGGCAGCCGUAGGGAAUCUUCGGCAAUGGGGGCAACCCUGACCGAGCAACGCCGCGUGAGUGAAGAAGGUUUUCGGAUCGUAAAGCUCUGUUGUAAGUCAAGAACGGGUGUGAGAGUGGAAAGUUCACACUGUGACGGUAGCUUACCAGAAAGGGACGGCUAACUGCGUG